AUUGAACGCUGGCGGCAUGCUUUACACAUGCAAGUCGAACGGCAGCGCGGGCUUCGGCCUGGCGGCGAGUGGCGAACGGGUGAGUAAUGCAUCGGAACGUGCCCAGUAGUGGGGGAUAGCCCGGCGAAAGCCGGAUUAAUACCGCAUACGACCUGAGGGUGAAAGCGGGGGACCGAAAGGCCUCGCGCUAUUGGAGCGGCCGAUGUCGGAUUAGCUAGUUGGUGGGGUAAAGGCUUACCAAGGCGACGAUCCGUAGCUGGUCUGAGAGGACGACCAGCCACACGGGGACUGAGACACGGCCCAGACUCCUAGGGGAGGCAGCAGGGGGGAAUUUGGAAAAAGGGGGGCAACCCUGAUCCAGCCAUGCCGCGGGCGGAAAGAAGGCCUUCGGGUUGAAAACCGCUUUUGUUGGGGAAAAAACCCUCUGGGCUAAUACCCCGGGGGGAUGACGGAACCGGAAAAAAAAGCACCGGCUAACUACUU
rnacentral:rRNA from 1 species